AGGUUUCACCCUUUUUGAAAAGUUUCUACGAAUUUGUCCGUUUUAAAUUCACGAAUCUUAACAAAAUUAUUAAGAAUCGUCAACUUUUGAGGACGCAUUUCAAUCGCAUUUUUUUUAAAUUAUUGUUCCGUGAAAACUAAUAACUAAAAAAAUGAUGUUUACUACUUGAACUCUGUAUUCACAACUCAAGCAUCCAAUCAAAUAUUUAGAGCUAUCCACUAUGGUCUAGCACAGUUGGAUAGCGUGGUGAACAAUUAAUCCUAGCUUUCGGAAGGCCAAACAGUUUACUUUGCAGAACCAUAGAAAUUUUACGCUUUUCCCUUCAACACACGUGAGCCGGUCUCUUGCCACCUCUGCUAUACUACAGACAAAUGGACGUAAAUAUUUGAAAUUUUUAUCAAAAAUAUAUCAGCCACUCCUCACUAGGGCCAUCUUGUUGUGAAUGCACGCACAUAUCGCACGAUAUAUUUGAACAAUUUUCAAACACGCGCAAAAUUUUAGGAGCUGCGAUGAAUUUCAAGUCACCUUGCAUAUUAAACGAACGAGAAUGCAGCAGACUUUGCGGUCUAAGGCCUAGUUAUUCAAUCGUUCGCUGUACGAUGUGGACGCAAAUUGGAACUGCUCGCUCCACCAGCCACCUGUCGGCAGUAUAAUUUUAGGCCAAACGACUAACACUUGCACUACAACUGGCAUGGUUCAAGCAAGUCUAGAACAAGAGAAGAGAAUUGUGCAGCAUUUAAAGUAAAACUUUAUUUUUUGUAACGAUAAAUUACAUCAAUCAACCACAGCAUCAUCUCAUAACAAAAUAUUGUAUGUCAUCGUUGGUCACAACUGUGUGAAUAAAGUGAGAGGAAACAUAAAGGUUCAGUGUUAACCGCUAAAACAGAUCAAGGAUUUUAUACUCAAGUCUACGCUACUAUACGAUCGUGUUUUUUUAGUACUAGUGGAUGUUCGGAAAGCUGCUGCUGCUAACGCGGUUUUCGUAACUAUGUUCUUGUAGUGAAUAUUAAAAAAAACUAGAUUAAAGUUAAGUGUGAAUGACGAACAAUCACAAUGAGAAUUGCAUACACUGUGAUAUUGGGGCUGAUAAUCAAUGGGCUUCUGGUGCUGGGCCGUGGUACCGACUUCAACGAUAGUAAAAGUGAGCGGCGUCGCCAUCCAAGUAGGCUAAGAGGGAACUUCAAUGCAAAAAUCGUCGAAGAGACUGUCGAUGCCUACAAUGCUACAGACAAAAAUAACAACACUAUAUCAGUUGUUAAUAGUGUUACAAACAUUAACAUUGGCCCAACCAAAUUGAACAAGCGGAAAAAUAACAAAGGCAAGGAACUACUGAUCUGUCCACAGGAGAAACAGGCUCCUUUUCAGCUCAUUCCAACUCUAUGUAGACGUAACAGAGAUUGCAAAAAAAGUGGUAGCGAAAUGAAAUGCUGUAAUUUGUUUGGCAGCAAACGAUGCGUUAAAGGAGUUCGAAAGGCGCUGCCAGAACCACCACAUGAUCGUGAGUAUCUAUUAUGGUUUUAAGUUUUCAAAGCUUGUUGACUCUAAAUUGUUGAAAAUUUACCGAUACCGGCUAAGACUUCUUUUCAAACGGGUUGCAAAUGAUCACUUUGUUUUUGGUUUAAGAGCGAGUAUUUCGCCAAUGUGAAACAGGUCGUAUCGAGGUGCUCUUAUUUGGAUAAAACUUCCAGCAUUU